UACUGCAUUUUUUCUUACACAUGUGUUUUUCUUUUUUUGAAAACUUUGCUUUGGUAGGCCUUCUAUAUGGGGCCUGCCAGAGAUUAAACUCAACCAAAUUUUUUUUAAUGUCAACCGAUUAUUUAAUAGUCAAAACUUUCAACAACGGAUCUCUUGGUUCUCGCAUCGAUGAAGAACGCAGCGAAAUGCGAUAAGUAAUAUGAAUUGCAGAUAUUCGUGAAUCAUCGAAUCUUUGAACGCACAUUGCGCCCUUUGGUAUUCCAAAGGGCAUGCCUGUUUGAGCGUCAUUUCUCCCUCAAACCCUCGGGUUUGGUGUUGAGCGAUACGCUGGGUUUGCUUGAAAGAAAGGCGGAGUAUAAACUAAUGGAUAGGUUUUUUCCACUCAUUGGUACAAACUCCAAAACUUCUUCCAAAUUCGACCUCAAAUCAGGUAGGACUACCCGCUGAACUUAAGCAUAUCAAUAAGCGGAGG
rnacentral:rRNA from 1 species